AGAGUUUGAUCCUGGCUCAGAUUGAACGCUGGCGGCAGGCCUAACACAUGCAAGUCGAGCGGUAGCACAGAGAGCUUGCUCUCGGGUGACGAGCGGCGGACGGGUGAGUAAUGUCUGGGAAACUGCCUGAUGGAGGGGGAUAACUACUGGAAACGGUAGCUAAUACCGCAUAACGUCGCAAGACCAAAGUGGGGGACCUUCGGGCCUCAUGCCAUCAGAUGUGCCCAGAUGGGAUUAGCUAGUAGGUGGGGUAACGGCUCACCUAGGCGACGAUCCCUAGCUGGUCUGAGAGGAUGACCAGCCACACUGGAACUGAGACACGGUCCAGACUCCUACGGGAGGCAGCAGUGGGGAAUAUUGCACAAUGGGCGCAAGCCUGAUGCAGCCAUGCCGCGUGUGUGAAGAAGGCCUUCGGGUUGUAAAGCACUUUCAGCGGGGAGGAAGGCGUUAAGGUUAAUAACCUUGGCGAUUGACGUUACCCGCAGAAGAAGCACCGGCUAACUCCGUGCCAGCAGCCGCGGUAAUACGGAGGGUGCAAGCGUUAAUCGGAAUUACUGGGCGUAAAGCGCACGCAGGCGGUCUGUCAAGUCGGAUGUGAAAUCCCCGGGCUCAACCUGGGAACUGCAUUCGAAACUGGCAGGCUAGAGUCUUGUAGAGGGGGGUAGAAUUCCAGGUGUAGCGGUGAAAUGCGUAGAGAUCUGGAGGAAUACCGGUGGCGAAGGCGGCCCCCUGGACAAAGACUGACGCUCAGGUGCGAAAGCGUGGGGAGCAAACAGGAUUAGAUACCCUGGUAGUCCACGCCGUAAACGAUGUCGAUUUGGAGGUUGUGCCCUUGAGGCGUGGCUUCCGGAGCUAACGCGUUAAAUCGACCGCCUGGGGAGUACGGCCGCAAGGUUAAAACUCAAAUGAAUUGACGGGGGCCCGCACAAGCGGUGGAGCAUGUGGUUUAAUUCGAUGCAACGCGAAGAACCUUACCUGGUCUUGACAUCCACAGAACUUUCCAGAGAUGGAUUGGUGCCUUCGGGAACUGUGAGACAGGUGCUGCAUGGCUGUCGUCAGCUCGUGUUGUGAAAUGUUGGGUUAAGUCCCGCAACGAGCGCAACCCUUAUCUUUUGUUGCCAGCGGUUCGGCCGGGAACUCAAAGGAGACUGCCAGUGAUAAACUGGAGGAAGGUGGGGAUGACGUCAAGUCAUCAUGGCCCUUACGACCAGGGCUACACACGUGCUACAAUGGCAUAUACAAAGAGAAGCGACCUCGCGAGAGCAAGCGGACCUCAUAAAGUAUGUCGUAGUCCGGAUUGGAGUCUGCAACUCGACUCCAUGAAGUCGGAAUCGCUAGUAAUCGUAGAUCAGAAUGCUACGGUGAAUACGUUCCCGGGCCUUGUACACACCGCCCGUCACACCAUGGGAGUGGGUUGCA
rnacentral:rRNA from 1 species